GUGUUCGCUUCAUCAGCACACGUACUAAAAUUGAAACAGUAAGUGAAGAUGAGCAUGGCCCCUGUGAAAGGAUGACGUGCAAAUUCGUGAAGCGUUCCACAUUUUU